CCCUUAGACGUUCUGGGCCGCACGCGCGCUACACUGACGGAGCCAGCGAGUGUAAACCUUGGCCGAGAGGUCUGGGAAAUCUUGUGAAACUCCGUCGUGCUGGGGAUAGAGCAUUGUAAUUAUUGCUCUUCAACGAGGAAUUCCUAGUAAGCGCAAGUCAUCAGCUUGCGUUGAUUACGUCCCUGCCCUUUGUACACACCGCCCGUCGCUACUACCGAUUGAAUGGCUUAGUGAGGCUUCCGGAUUGGUUUAGAGAAGGGGGCAACUCCAUCUUGGAACCGAGAAGCUAGUCAAACUUGGUCAUUUAGAGGAAGUAAAAGUCGUAACA
rnacentral:rRNA from 1 species